rnacentral:tRNA from 1 species
GGGGCUGUAGCUCAGUGGGAGAGCACCUGCUUUGCACGCAGGGGGUCAGGGGUUCGAAUCCCCUCAGCUCCACCA